GAGAGUUUGAUUCUGGCUCAGGAUGAACGCUAGCUACAGGCUUAACACAUGCAAGUCGAGGGGAAACGACAUCGAAAGCUUGCUUUUGAUGGGCGUCGACCGGCGCACGGGUGAGUAACGCGUAUCCAACCUGCCCACCACUUGGGGAUAACCUUGCGAAAGUAAGACUAAUACCCAAUGAUAUCCCACGAAGGCAUCCGAAUGGGAUUAAAGAUUUAUCGGUGAUGGAUGGGGAUGCGUCUGAUUAGCUUGUUGGCGGGGUAACGGCCCACCAAGGCAACGAUCAGUAGGGGUUCUGAGAGGAAGGUCCCCCACAUUGGAACUGAGACACGGUCCAAACUCCUACGGGAGGCCAGCAGUGAGGAAUAUUGGUCAAUGGGCGAGAGCCUGAACCAGCCAAGUAGCGUGCAGGACGACGGCCCUAUGGGUUGUAAACUGCUUUUAUAAGGGAAUAAAGUGAGUCUCGUGAGACUUUUUGCAUGUACCUUAUGAAUAAGACCGCUAAUCC
rnacentral:rRNA from 1 species